UAGUUGUCACACCGCCUCAAUUCAGAAGAAGAAGAAGAAGAAGACGAAGAGGAGCAGCAGCAGGAGGGGCAACAGUAGAAGAGAGAAUCUCUCCAUACCGCCAGGUGGCGCUAAAUACACCACAAGAACCCGAGAACCGCCCCAAUUCAAAGAAGAAGAAGAAGAAGCAGUAGAAAAGAACACGCAUGCGCAGAAGCUGUAUAUUCUUCAGACGGCACGUGGGAAUGUCUGUGCUUAGAGAAAAGAUGUUUCCUGAUCUGCGUAAAGUCAGACUGCAGUACUGCAGACGAGCACGCGCUUGGAGGUGAAGAGAUGAAGAAAAGGUGGAAGGUUAAUCUUUUUACUGCACACCAAUUCAUGGUGUUUCAAAAGAGAUCUGAGAUCGUUCGAAUCUUAAGGAAAAGAAAAGUCUGCAUUGACUGAGAUUGCCCCCUCUCCGUAAUCCCCCAGAGUCCCUGACUGCUUGGGAUUCUCGAAGGUCAAGAUCUGUUGGAGAGGUGUUGGAUUUUGUAAACUCGAGCUCCAGUGGGCUGUGGCGUAGGAGGCUGUUAUGUUUGUGUGAUUCUGUGGAUGUUACUGCACUACACAUUCUUCUGAUCUUAUGUCCAUGUUUAUUAAAUUACUACAUUAAAAUUACUGAAAUUCUAACCA